rnacentral:rRNA from 1 species
GAGUUUGAUCCUGGCUCAGGAUGAACGCUGGCGGCGUGCCUAAUACAUGCAAGUCGAGCGAACAGAUAAGGAGCUUGCUCCUUUGACGUUAGCGGCGGACGGGUGAGUAACACGUGGGUAACCUACCUAUAAGACUGGAAUAACUCCGGGAAACCGGGGCUAAUGCCGGAUAAUAUUUAGAACCGCAUGGUUCUAAAGUGAAAGACGGUUUUGCUAUCACUUAUAGAUGGACCCGCGCCGUAUUAGCUAGUUGGUGGGGUAAUGGCUUACCAAGGCAACGAUACGUAGCCGACCUGAGAGGGUGAUCGGCCACACUGGAACUGAGACACGGUCCAGACUCCUACGGGAGGCAGCAGUAGGGAAUCUUCCGCAAUGGGCGAAAGCCUGACGGAGCAACGCCGCGUGAGUGAUGAAGGUCUUCGGAUCGUAAAACUCUGUUAUUAGGGAAGAACAAAUGUGUAAGUAACUGUGCACGUCUUGACGGUACCUAAUCAGAAAGCCACGGCU